rnacentral:rRNA from 1 species
UACGUAGGGGGCGAGCGUUGUCCGGAUUUAUUGGGCGUAAAGGGCGCGUAGGUGGUUCUGUGUGCUCCGCGUGAAAUCGCCCGGCUCAACCGGGCGGGGUCGCGGAUGACUACAGGACUGGAGCCUGGGAGGGGGAAGCGGAAUUCCCGGUGUAGUGGUGGAAUGCGUAGAUAUCGGGAGGAACACCAGUGGCGAAGGCGGCUUCCUGGACCAGAGCUGACACUGAGGCGCGAAAGCGUGGGGAGCGAUCCGG